CCUACGGGAGGCAGCAGUGGGGGAUAUUGCACAAUGGGGGGAACCCUGAUGCAGCGACGCCGCGUGGGUGAAGAAGCGCCUCGGCGCGUAAAGCCCUGUCAGCAGGGAAGAAAAUGACGGUACCUGAAGAAGAAGCCCCGGCUAACUACGUGCCAGCAGCCGCGGUAAUACGUAGGGGGCAAGCGUGAUCCGGAUUUACUGGGUGUAAAGGGGGCGCAGACGGCGAUGCAAGCCUGGAGUGAAAGCCCGGGGCUCAACCCCGGGACUGCUCUUGGAACUGCGUGGCUGGAGUGCAGGAGAGGCAGGCGGAAUUCCUGGAGUAGCGGUGAAAUGCGUAGAUAUCAGGAGGAACACCGGUGGCGAAGGCGGCCUGCUGGACUGCAACUGACGUUGAGGCCCGAGAGCGUGGGGAGCAAACAGGAUUAGAUACCCUAGUAGUC
rnacentral:rRNA from 1 species